rnacentral:rRNA from 2 species
ACGGGAGGCAGCAGUGGGGAAUAUUGCGCAAUGGGCGAAAGCCUGACGCAGCGACGCCGCGUGAGGGAAGAAGGUUUUCGAAUUGUAAACCUCUGUCAGAAGGAAAGAAAGCAUAAUCUGCCAAUCAGGAUUAUGUUGACGGUACCUUCAAAGGAAGCACCGGCUAACUCCGUGCCAGCAGCCGCGGUAAUACGGAGGGUGCGAGCGUUAAUCGGAAUUACUGGGCGUAAAGCGUGCGUAGGCUGUAAUUCAAGUCAAGGGUGAAAUCCCCGUGCUUAACAUGGGAACUGCCUUUGAAACUGGGUUACUUGAGUAUGUGAGAGGAUGGCGGAAUUCCGGGUGUAGGAGUGAAAUCCGUAGAUAUUCGGAAGAACAUCAGUGGCGAAGGCGGCCAUCUGGCGCAUAACUGACGCUGAGGGACGAAAGCGUGGGUAGCAAACAGGAUUAGAUACCCUGGUA